CUGGGAAGUCCUCGUGUUGCGCCCC
rnacentral:rRNA from 1 species